GAAAGCGUGGGUAGCGAACAGGAUUAGAUACCCUGGUAGUCCACGCCGUAAACGGUGGGCGCUAGCGGUGGGGUCCUUUCACGGAAUCCGUGCCGUAGUUACCGCAUUAAGCGCCCCCCCGGGGGAGUACGGCCCCAAGGUUAAAAUUCAAAGGAAUUGACGGGGCCCCCCCCAAGCGGCGGAGCAUGUGGAUUAAUUCGAUGCAACGGGAAGACCCUUACCCGGGUUUGACAUAUACCGGAAAGCUGCAGAGAUGUGGCCCCCCUUGUGGUCGGUAUACAGGUGGUGCAUGGCCGUUGUCAGCUCGUGUUGUGAGAUGUUGGGGUAAGUCCCGCAACGAGCGCAACCCCUAUUUUAUGUUGCCAGCACGUUAUGGUGGGGACUUGUAAGAGACUGCCGGGGUCAAAUCGGAGGAAGGUGGGGAAGACGUCAAGUCAUCAUGCCCCUUAUGUCCAGGGGUUCACACAUGGUACAAUGGCCAGUACAGAGGGGUGCGAGACCGUGAGGUGGAG
rnacentral:rRNA from 1 species